rnacentral:rRNA from 1 species
UUGCUGGUGGAUUAGUGGCGAACGGGUGAGUAACACGUGAGCAACCUGCCCCUGACUUCGGGAUAACCGCGGGAAACCGUGGCUAAUACCGGAUAUGACGCGCUAUCGCAUGGUGGUGUGUGGAAAGAUUUAUCGGUUGGGGAUGGGCUCGCGGCCUAUCAGCUUGUUGGNGGGGUGAUGGCCUACCAAGGCGACGACGGGUAGCCGGCCUGAGAGGGUGACCGGCCACACUGGGACUGAGACACGGCCCANACUCCUACGGGAGGCAGCAGUGGGGAAUAUUGCACAAUGGGCGCAAGCCUGAUGCAGCGACGCCGCGUGAGGNAUGACGGCCUUCGGGUUGUAAACCUCUUUCAGUAGGGAAGAAGGCCUUCGGGUUGACGGUACCUGCANAANAAGCGCCGGCUAACUACGUGCCAGCAGCCGCGGUAAUACGUAGGGCGCAAGCGUUGUCCGGAAUUAUUGGGCGUAAAGAGCUCGUAGGCGGUUUGUCGCGUCUGCUGUGAAAACGCGAGGCUUAACCUCGCGCCUGCAGUGGGUACGGGCAGACUAGAGUGCGGUAG